rnacentral:rRNA from 1 species
GAUGAACGCUAGCUACAGGCUUAACACAUGCAAGUCGAGGGGUAACGAGAGGAAAGCUUGCUCUCCUUGUCGACGACCGGCGCACGGGUGAGUAACGCGUAUCCAACCUGCCCCCAACUAAGGAAUAACCUUGCGAAAGUAAGACUAAUACCUUAUAAUUUCCUCAGAUGUCAUCUGACGAGGAAUAAAGAUUUAUAGGUUGUAGAUGGGGAUGCGUCUGAUUAGCUUGUUGGCGGGGUAACGGCCCACCAAGGCAACGAUCAGUAGGGGUUCUGAGAGGAAGGUCCCCCACAUUGGAACUGAGACACGGUCCAAACUCCUACGGGAGGCAGCAGUGAGGAAUAUUGGUCAAUGGGCGAAAGCCUGAACCAGCCAAGUAGCGUGCAGGAUGACGGCCCUAUGGGUUGUAAACUGCUUUUAUACAGGAAUAAAGUUAGCCACGUGUGGUUAUUUGUAGGUACUGUAUGAAUAAGGACCGGCUAUUCCGUGCCAGCCGCCGCCGUAA